rnacentral:rRNA from 1 species
GAUGAACGCUGGCGGCGUACCUAAUACAUGCAAGUCGAGCGAACAGACGAGGAGCUUGCUCCUCUGACGUUAGCGGCGGACGGGUGAGUAACACGUGGAUAACCUACCUAUAAGACUGGGAUAACUUCGGGAAACCGGAGCUAAUACCGGAUAAUAUAUUGAACCGCAUGGUUCAAUAGUGAAAGACGGUUUUGCUGUCACUUAUAGAUGGAUCCGCGCCGCAUUAGCUAGUUGGUAAGGUAACGGCUUACCAAGGCAACGAUGCGUAGCCGACCUGAGAGGGUGAUCGGCCACACUGGAACUGAGACACGGUCCAGACUCCUACGGGAGGCAGCAGUAGGGAAUCUUCCGCAAUGGGCGAAAGCCUGACGGAGCAACGCCGCGUGAGUGAUGAAGGUCUUCGGAUCGUAAAACUCUGUUAUUAGGGAAGAACAAACGUGUAAGUAACUAUGCACGUCUUGACGGUACCUAAUCAGAAAGCCACGGCUAACUACGUG